UCUUUCUCUAUUCUAAGAAAAGGGAGAAGUAUAUGUCAUUCUCUAUUCUAAGGCAAGGGAGAAGUAUAUCACUUUUUCUAUUCUAAAGAAAGGGAGAAGGACGUGAAUUUUUCUAUUUUAAGGAAAGGGAGAUGUAUAUGUUUUUUUUUCUUUUUUAAGGAAAGACACGGUAUUUUUUUCUCCACCUUAGAUAAGGAAGAUAUCUCUUUAAAUAGGGAUUCUUCUAAUCCUUGUAAUGGUAAAAUUUUCUAUACGAUAGUUGUUCAUCCAAGUAUUGAAAGUUCCGAAGUGAAUUGGAGAGCACCGUAGAAGAGCACAGAACUGUGGACUAGCUUGUGGAUUCGUUUAAAGAUUCUCCCUUGUCGACUAAUUUGUGGAUUCACUUGAAAGUAUAUGUUCCCGCUUCAAGAGGGCAAGAUGAGCCAAGAGGAUGAAAAAGAAAGAGAGGCUGAUUUUACAAAUGAAUUUUCUAUGGAUGAAACACCUAUGGAUUUGGGUUUGAAUCGAGCAAUUUGCCUACCACCAGAGAAAAGUUGUCCAAAGCGGAGAUGUAUAAAUCAGCAUAGAAGUUAUCCACGAAGCCAUCGACGGCCCAUAAUUCCAUCAACGGACCGUAGGUGGUUAUCGUUGAUGAAAUCUGUCCAAAGAUGAACACAUAAAUUUUUGAGCAAGAAAUGCAGAAAAGACCACCUACGAGCUUAUGACGUUCCGUCGAGUCUGUGAUGGUCCAUAGGUGGUAUCGUAGUGAGGAGAAAAGCUGCUGAAGAAAGAUGGGAAGUCUGACUAAGUGUUGGAUUACAGAAGUCCAUGACGGUCCGUCCUGUUGGUUCGUCGUAAUGAUCAGAGAGUAGUCCAGUACCUUAACUCCAAGAAGUUAAAGUAUUAUGGAAUGGAUACCCUCGACGGACCGUCGUGCUUGAAACGGUUCGUCAUACCUGUUCGUUGAGGAUAAUGAAAAAAGCAGUAGAAGAAUUUUUGAAGUAUAGGAUGACGGAGGCCAUGACAGCCCAUCGUGACCACGAAGGUCCGUCACGAGGUCCGUCGACUCAGACGCGUUUUGACAGAUUUUCAGUAAUUAGAAUCCUUCUUUUAUUAGAUUUUUAUUUUUAUUAUAAAUAGUUUGAAAAACCUCGUUUUUGGGGUUAGACGGUAAGACUUUUCGAAUAUUUAGUUCUCUUGUUCAAGUUUUGAAGGAUUAAUUUCAGUGAUUGAUACACUCUUUCUGGAAUCGAUUAUUGGUGCUUUUGUUGAUUAAUCAAGUGAAUUUUUGGAUUU